rnacentral:tRNA from 1 species
AAAUAAGAAACAAUUAAUUGUAUUUAGUUUCGACCUAACCUUUGAUGAUAAUUUCAUCCUUAUUUA